AAACGGGUGCGGAACACGUACGCAACCUUCCCAAAACUGGUGAAUAGCCCUCCGAAAGGAGGACUAAUACACCGUAAGAUAAUGAGGUGGCAUCACUUUAUUAUUAUAGCUACGGCGGUUUUGGAUGGGCGUGCGCCUGAUUAGGUAGUUGGCGGGGUAACGGCCCACCAAGCCUGCGAUCAGUAACUGGUGUGAGAGCACGACCAGUCACACGGGCACUGAGACACGGGCCCG
rnacentral:rRNA from 1 species